rnacentral:rRNA from 1 species
CACAUGCACGUCGAGCGGAAACGAAGAGGUGCUUGCACCUCUGGCGUCGAGCGGCGGACGGGUGAGUAAUGCUUGGGAAUAUGCCUUAUGGUGGGGGACAACAGUUGGAAACGACUGCUAAUACCGCAUGAUGUCUACGGACCAAAGUGGGGGACCUUCGGGCCUCACGCCAUAAGAUUAGCCCAAGUGGGAUUAGCUAGUUGGUGAGGUAAUGGCUCACCAAGGCGACGAUCCCUAGCUGGUUUGAGAGGAUGAUCAGCCACACUGGGACUGAGACACGGCCCAGACUCCUACGGGAGGCAGCAGUGGGGAAUAUUGCACAAUGGGCGCAAGCCUGAUGCAGCCAUGCCGCGUGUGUGAAGAAGGCCUUCGGGUUGUAAAGCACUUUCAGUAAGGAGGAAAGGUUAAGUGUUAAUAGCACUUAGCUGUGACGUUACUUACAGAAGAAGCACCGGCUAACUCCGUGCCAGCAGCCGCGGUAAUACGGA